rnacentral:rRNA from 1 species
AUGAGGGCUCUAUAUGAUGGCAAAUUCCACUCCUUCAGUGAUUUGAAUUCAUCAAUUAUCACGCUCCUUCCAAAGAAAGCUGAUUCCCUCGAGGUGAGCGAAUUCAGACCGAUUAAUCUCAUUCAUGGGGCUGCCAAGAUAUUUGCCAAGGUGCUUGCGGUGCGUGUAGCUCCCUCCCUGCCGGUUCUCAUCUCGCAGGCCCAGAGCGCGUUCAUCUGCAAGCGGAACAUGCAUGAGAACUUCAAGUUUGUGCGCAAUACGGCUCGUUGGCUGCACCAAAAGCGCAAGCAAGCAAUCUUGAUGAAGAUCGACAUAUCCAAAGCUUUUGAUACUUUGUCAUGGGAGUUCCUACUUGAGGUCUUGAGGAAAAGAGGAUUUGGCCGAAGAUGGUGCUCUUGGAUUUGUGGCCUUCUAUCUACGGCAUCAUCCUCUGUGCUAGUCAAUGGUGAAUUGUGCCAGCCAUUUGCACUUGGCUAG